CUCCAUCGGGUCAUUUUGGUCACUCAAGACUGCGACAAAGAAACUCGAAGAAGCGGAAGCUAUCGGAAGAUUUCGAUGCCGAUCACAUUGCCUCCACUGAGUCGACUGGUAAAGCUGAAAAAGAUAUCAUCUGUGGUGUUCUCGCUCAGGUCGUAAUCUUGACUCUACUUUCGUCCACAGAGGCAGAUUGGGCCGCUAGUAAGUGCGCAAUACAUGUUAUUUCAGAACUUGCCAAGAACGGUAAAGCGGAGGCUCGAUUCUUAAAUUUUUCGUUAACAUUUGUAAGCGUUCUAGAGAAUUAUCAUUGCAUGUAUGUUUUCAACGUCAAGCGCUGUGGUUCUUGAAUUUUUUUAUGAUUAAGGGAUUUGAUCUUUGAUGAUUUGUUUGUUCGCAACAGGAUUUAUAAGUGUAACUGUUGAAUGCGAGGCCGUGCCAACGCUGGUGAGGCAUCUCCAGGCGCCGCCGCCGUUGAGAGAAGGCGACAAUACUUCGAAUCCUUGCGAACAUGAGGUCGAGAAAGGAAGCGUUUCUACACUUGGUCUUCUUGCUGUAAAAGAAGAUAGUGCCAAUGUCUCUUUUGCGCUAUUAAUUUGGCAAGAGAAUAUUAUAUCAGCAAUCAUAUGAGAGACUUAGGAAUGAAUUAUUCUCAUCAAGGUUUGGAGGGAUCAGACAUGAGUGGGCAAUGCCUUCUUGUAACUAUUGCAGCCUUUG